ensembl:antisense Gm11899 predicted gene 11899
GAUCAGGGUCACGUCGCAGAGAAUGCCAUCACUUCUUUGCUGAUUCAGCGCCGCCAGGACCGUGUCAUUGUGAGUUUCCGAGUGGCACAGCCUCUGGCCCGUCAGCAUUUCUUGAAUACUACAAAGGAGAGUAAUGAAGCCCUGUUUAUGCCUUUCACCGGCUCAGCUUCCUGGGGCUCUCUCACCCGUUGGGCUUUGGGGAGGCUACUUCUAGUGCCCUAGACCUUUGGACUGCUUCCUCAGAAACUGAUGGGGACCGGCCUCCAGGCAGAAUGGCCGCCACUUACUUUCCCUCUGGCUGCCUCUCAGACUUUAGACUGUGGAGCUCCCUCCCGCCUCGGUGCACCGCCCCACCGCCCAGCUCAGCUCAUCCUUGGGACCUCAGGCCUGCUUCUUUCCUGGGUUUGCACUGCACUUUACCAUCAGAACGGUUUUCAUCACGGCAUUUGCAUUGCUGGUGGUGUAGCUGUUUCUAUGAUAGAAUACCCAGUUUAUGAAGGAAUAAAUCAAAUUUUGUAUCAGUCAUAGCUGGUACUUUACAUCAAGUUGAAUGUUUGCCUCAGCAAAUACUUAUCAAAUAAAUAUAUAUUCAAAAAAGGUAGCAGGAACUUCUGAAUCCUCCGCAAAGUGAUUGCAUUAAAGGGGUCAAUAUUCAGAGAUAGCAUAGUUUUCUACGAAUUUUUAUCAUGUACCUUUAUAGUGAUUUGCCUUUUGCUCAAAGGGUUACCAUCCAAAAUAAGAAAAAAAAAAACC